rnacentral:lncRNA from 1 species
UUUGCAACUUUGAUUUUGUACUCUAAAUUGUUAAUUAGUCAUGAAAUGAAAUUAGAUUGUCUUCUCUCUUGAUUUUGGAUGAUUGUCCACAAAUAUUUGUACGCCGCAUGAACUUUUUCUAUGUGCAUUAAUGGCUAUUGUGAAGAAAAGUUAGUGUUGAAUUCAAGAGAGUAGAUAAACUAACAACAAAGGUUUGUUGUUUGAUGAAUAUGAAUAAAAAAGUAGGAUAAACAUUUAUUGUUGAUACAUGUUGGAAAUAUCAACAAAGGGUAAGGCCUCUGUUCCCAUCCACUUGAAAAUAAAACUCCAUAUCUUAAAGAAAACGUCGUUGACGUCUUCCACCUCCUUGAAGCAAAAUACACAAUAUUUCUCAUGAAUUCUUGUAAUGACAACUUUAUUAAAUAAAAACUCUCUAGUGGGUAGUUUUUCAAUCAACAACCUCCAACCAAACAUACUAUUUUUUGAUGGGACGUUAUUUAACCAACGACACUUAAGCGCUUUCGUUGUGUUUGUCUCGAGAUCAAUUGUGCCGGACCUGCUCUGUAGCACCGUAUAAGCUGUCUUCACCAUAAAAAUACCAGCUGCAUGUGAUUUCCAUUUUCGCUUAUCGCUGGUUUCCCUUCUCGAAAUCAAUUAUCGCUGUCUUUGUAAAUAUAUAUAUAUAUUUUUAGAAUAAGCAAAAAAAUAAGUUAAAAAAAUACUAAUGUGAAGAAAGUCAGCACGUGAGAAUCGAAAAGGGAUCUCAUUUUUCCGUAAG